AGUUUCACUCUUGUUGCCCAGGCUGGAGUGCAAUGGUGCCAUCUCGGCUCACCGCAACCUCCACCUUCUGGGUUCCAGCAAUUCUCCUGCCUCAGCCUCCCAAGUAGCUGGGAUUACAGGCAUGCGCCACCACACCCAGCUAACUUUUUUGUGUCUAAUUUUUUGUAUUUUUAGUAGAGACGGGGUUUCACCGUGUUAGCCAGGAUGGUCUCAAUCUCCUGACCUCGUGAUCCUCCCACCUCGGCCUCCCAAAGUGCUGGGAUUACAGGCGUGAGCUACCACGCCGGGCCCGUGCCUGGCUAAUUUUUGUAUUGAGACGGGGUUUCCACCAUGUUGGCCAGGCUGGUCUGUAACUCGACCUCAGGUGAUCUGCCCGCAUUCGUGGCUCACGGCUAUAAUCCCAGCACUUUGGAAGGCCGAGGCGGGUGGAUCACCUGAGGUUGGGAAUUCGACACCAGCCUGACCAACAUGGAGAAACCUCGUCUUUACUAAAAAUACAAAAAAAAAAAAAAACAUUAGCUGGGCGUUGUGGCGCAUGCCUGUAAUCCCAGCUGCUCGGGAGGCUGAGGCAGGAGAAUCGCCUGAACCCGAGAGGCGGAGGUUGCGGUGAGCCAAGAUCGUGCAAUUGCAUUCCAGCCUGGGCAACAAGAGCGAAACUAUGCCUCAAAUAAAAAACAAAACAAAACAAAAAAAGAGCCAGAGUAAAAAGUUACAGCCUAUUAGAAAUGUAUUUGGAAUCUGGAAUCAGUAUUUACAGCUUGGCUGUGUUCCCAUUUCAUGCAUGAUAGUCAAUGAGCAGUUAGUUGCAUUCAAAGCACAUUGCUCAUUUUGGUUAUAUUUACCUUCAAAAUCAGGAAAAUACGGAAUAAAUAUUUGCGUUUAUGUGGUUAAUACUCACUAAACUUUUGAAUAGAUUUGUUUUUCACUAUCCCUUUCUUUUGUAAAAUUAUUCAUAAAAUCAUUUAAAAAUACAAAAAUAAACAGAGUUCACUGAACCCAGAUGGUAAAUGGUGGUGAUGACUAUUUUUUCUUGUAUACCGAAAGUUAUUAAUAGAAUAUUCCAGCUGCCCUCCUCCAGAAUCUUU
rnacentral:lncRNA from 1 species